GACGAACGCUGGCGGCGUGCUUAACACAUGCAAGUCGAGCGGUAAGGCCUUUCGGGGUCCACGAGCGGCGAACGGGUGAGUAACACGUGGGUGAUCUGCCCUGCACUUCGGGAUAAGCCUGGGAAACUGGGUCUAAUACCGGAUAUGACCUCCUAUCGCAUGGUGGGUGGUGGAAAGAUUUAUCGGUGCAGGAUGGGCCCGCGGCCUAUCAGCUUGUUGGUGGGGUAAUGGCCUACCAAGGCGACGACGGGUAGCCGACCUGAGAGGAUGACCGGCCACACUGGGACUGAGACACGGCCCAGACUCCUACGGGAGGCAGCAGUGGGGAAUAUUGCACAAUGGGCGAAAGCCUGAUGCAGCGACGCCGCGUGAGGGAUGACGGCCUUCGGGUUGUAAACCUCUUUCAGCAGGGACGAAGCGCAAGUGACGGUACCUGCAGAAGAAGCACCGGCUAACUACGUG
rnacentral:rRNA from 1 species